GCGGCGCCUUCGGCCGGGCAGCGGAGCGCGGCGCGGAGCCGGGCGGCGGCGGCGGCUCGGUCCCGGUCCUUCCCGGCCCUCGGCAGUGAUGGAGAGGUGGGUGCAGUCUAUCAUGCAGCCAGCAGCCCAAGGAUGCCUGUGGGCUCACCCGAGCCAGCAUCAAUAAGGACCCUUCCAUGCCACGGUGGACUCCAGAGACAUAGGACUUCCUUUCUUGGAGGCUACAGAAACAAGGUCUCAAAAGCUGAACUGCUCUAAAUUCACAUGCCAGAGCAGAAACUGUUUCUCCUGACUCCAUGCCCUGCACUCAGCUAUCAGUCUUGCCUGCAAUGCUGUAAAGCAAAUGUUACCAUAGAAGAGCCUGGCUGAUGGGAGACACAGUUCCCAUUCACCUCCUUGAGCAUCAAGUGGUGCUAACUGGGAUGACUGCAGAAGCCCAGCUCUUUCCCUCGUCCUCUAAGAUCAGGAUUGUGAACCUUUCUGCAGCAAGAUUUGAAACAGCCAGAUUCCAGCUUUGACCAAAGUCCCUAGGAUUCACUUGUGAUUUCCAUUAAGUCUUCUUUAAGGUCAGCUGUUCUCUGGUUGGAGUAUUUUUAUAGUCCACAUUGUUAGAAAACCCAUACAUGAAGAAAAGAAAAAAGAAGUGAAACAAACUAGAGGCGUGGCCAUUAAUUCUUCCAGGGAAAAGAUGGCCUGCCUUCUUCAAGCAUCCAGACCUGCUGCAGAAUGUGUGAGAUUUCCCUGUGCAUGUUAUGAAAUACUUAAUUCCAAAUGCAAGUAGAAGAGAAAUGCAGCUGAAGUGGAUCUUGCACCAAGAAAUUAAGGCAGGCACAAAGAGAAGCGAGUGAGAAUGUUUUUCCCAGUCUCACUGGAAGAAUCCAGAAUGAGAUAUUGUUUCAACUGGAAAAUAAUAAUGGGGAGCACAUCAUCACCAAGCUGCAACAACCCAUCCUGAGCCAGGCUGCUCCACCAGGCUCAGCCCAGCAGGGACCAUACAGCCCAGCACGAGGCCAGCCCAGACCCUGUGUGCUCAUGCAGGAGGUGGUGCAACAGACCUGACCUUCCCAUCUGCCUCCCCUGCCUUAUCCCAUCCUGGAACGUCCUCUGCGCACCAGUGGCAGGGAGCUCUCUCUGGCAUAUUCUUGGUGGAAGCUCUCUCUGCACAUUAGAAUUAAUACGAUUAAUGAUAUUAAUUAAUAGGAUUAUUGAAGGAUCACAGUCUUUUGACAGGAGUGGUUGCCACAAGGGACGCUGAACCUAAAUGUCCCUCCGCUAAAUGCUGUUGAAGGUAUCAUUUGAGCACACUGGGACCCUCAGCAUGCUGCUCUCAGCUACUUCUGCUGCAAAGAACUAGAAUUAGACAAGCCAGAGUCAAACCAAUUCUGUCUUUCAAGUACAGUUUAUGCUGCCUGAGCACCCGAUUUUAUAGGAGAAAUCAAGGAUAUAAGAUUAGAGGUUAAUACUGACUCAUCACCACCCUGGACUGCCGUGGCAGUUAUUUUAUAUGGACAGCUUGUUCCUUCCAUGUACAGCUCAGAGAUGGAUCCUCUUCAGAAACCUAUUCCCUGCCCAAACAGAGCAAAGGGCUCUGCAGACUUCAUCAGGAGUAACCCCUGCAGCUGGGAUGCCACAGACUGGCCUCUGGGAGCCAACCUGAUCUGCAGUAGAGCACGGAGAAGGCUGCUUUCAGGUCAGAAAACAGAACAAGGGUGAUCUCAUCCCUGUGCCAGUUUCUCCACAUUACAAAGUCACCGCAAGACAUGACGACACAUUGUUCCUGCUCCAGGAGGAUGGGACUGAGGGCUUGUCUGCACCACUUGGAAGAAUGAACUGGAAGGAACAAACAUGCACAAGCAAUCUCAAGAUAUCACACAAUUAACAGCGCUGGAUAUUCAUCAGCCUGAUUUCGAAAAUGGAGCAACUGUGACGUGAUGAGAUGAAGAAAUUUGCUAGAUAUCAUGGAAUGAAUUGGCCCCCAUACAAGUAUUAGAACACCUUUCCUUAUUCCUGGUGCCAUUCGUCAUCCACACAAGAACACCAAAGCCACUUCUUGUUGCCAUUCCCCACAUUUCAGCAGACUGGAGCCCACAAGGACUGGGCAUUCAGCCUCUUCACAUUUUUGGGUAAGAAGCUGUUGUGACUGAGAAGAGCCACGAGUCCAGACAAACAUUAUGGCCUGCAGUGACAUUGCUAUGGCAGAUUUAUGCAGUUCCUGACCCUCACAGGGACAUGUAGCCAACACGGCUGUGAGACCAGGCAUUUCUCUGCCUCUCAGACCUAUGAGGUCCCUGUGAGAACUCAAUUUGUUCUGUGUAACCUUACCUGCACUGCUAUUGCUUUUGCCACCACCACAGGCACCAGUCAGAGCAAUGCCUGGCAUUAUUCUGAUCUGUACACAGGGACAUAGGAAAUACAAACAAACUGGCUGACCACAGUGGCACGAAGUGAGAGAUCAGUGUUCUAGGAACAUAGGGUGGCUCAGGUUGGAAGGGACUUCAGGAGGCCAUCUAGUAUUGCUACUUGAAGUAGGGUCAGCUGUGGGGACAGAAGGGAGAACUCAGGGCUUCAUCUGAUCUGGACUUGAAAACCUGGAAGGUGGUGACUGCAAAUGGUCCACCUGCUCCACUGCUUGGCUGUCCUUGAGAUUCAAGUUUCUCCUUAUAUCCAGUCCAGAUCUCUGUUGUUUCAGCCUAUGCCUGUUGUCUCCCACCUUCCCACCACUCAGCACUGAAGAACUUGGUGCCAUCUCGUCUGUACUGGAGAGCUGCUGUUAUGUCCUUCAGCAAGCCCUGGUCUCUCAGCCUGUCCCCACACUGCAAGUGCUCCAGUCCCAUGAUUAUCUUGGUGGCCUUCUGCUGAACUCCCUCCAGUUUGUUCGUGUCUUUUCCAUACUGGGGGAGGCCAAAAGGAGAGCUGAGCAGAGAGGGACAGCGGCGUCCUUUGAUGGGCUGCUGUGCUGCUGCCGACAGAGCCCAGGCAGCUGCUGGCACUCACUGCCCACAGACCCCAGGGCCUCUCCAGCAGAGCUUCUCCCUGGGCAGCCAGUCCCAGCAAGCACCACCGAUGGGCUUCUUCCCUUCCAGGUGCAGGAUCUUGCAUUUGUCCCUGUUGAAUUUCAUGAGUUCACACCGCUGCAGCCUCAGUAUUUCUGAGCGGCAGCUCUGCACACUUUCCCCAGUGUCAACCAUUCAGAUUGUGGCUCACUGCAACAGGAAUCCUUCAAGCUGGGAGUCCUGAUUGAUAAUAAGCUAAAUAUGAACCAGCAAUGUGCCCUCAUGGCCAAGAAGGCCAAUGGCAGCCUGGGAUGCAUCAGGAAGAGUGCGGGCAGCAGGUCGAGGGAGGUUCUUCUCCCCCUCUACUCUGCCCUGGUGAGGCCUCAUCUGGAGUCCCGUGUCCAGUUCUGGGCUCCUCAGCUCAAGAGGGACAGGGAAGUGCUGGAGAGAGGCCAGUGCAGGGACACCAAGGUGAUCAAGGGUAUAGAACAUCUUUCUUAUGAGGAAAGGCUGUGGGAACUGGGGCUGUUUAGUCUGGAGGAGACUGAGGGGGGAUCUUAUUAACAUUUAUAAAUAUCUAAAGGAUGGGUGUCAGGAGGUUGGGACAUCCCUCUUUUCUAUAGUAGCCAGCAACAGGACAAGGGGUGAUGGGAUGAAGCUGGAACAAAAAGUUCCACUUAAACAUAAGAAAAGACUAUUUCAGUGUGAGGUGAGGGAGCCCUGGCACAGGCUGCCCAGGGAGGGUGUGGAGGCUCCUUCCUUGGAGGGCUUCAAGACCCACCUGAACAUGUUCCUAUGUGACCUGAUCUAGGUGACCCUGCUUCUGCAGGGGGGUUGGACUGGAUGAUCUCUAAAGGUCCCUCCCAACCUCACCAUUCUAUGAUUCUAUGAUUCUAAGCACAAAGACAGUGCCUUGUUUAAGAGUGGCUUGGCUUGAGUAAGGACUGUUGCUAUUUAGCUAGAACUGUCAUGGCUUUCUGGGGGCUGAAGUUCAGGUUCUUCAGAAGCUCGUACAGGUUCAACACAAGGAUCCCAUUUACACUGAGGUAAUUUUAUACAUAGAAAUGUCCUUUUAAACUUCAGGAAGCCACUGAGGAGAGUAAAAUAAGAAUAUACAGCCAUGGUAUUUUAUGACGUCUCCUUUCUUGGGCCUUUUUUGGGGUGAGAAAUCAAAUCUUUGGUGGGUAGCUGGCAUAUAGUUAAAAAAAGAGGUAGAAACAUAAAUGUAGGAAAUGGAAGCAACUGAUGCAGAAAUCCAACAACUUUCGUGGCUAUCCACUGGGCACUUCUGAGGUCCUUUGUUGUUACAGUCAGGCUGUACACAGCUCCUGUAUUACUCCCACUUGGUAGUGCAGUUGUUCCAGAUAGGUACCAGCACGAUUAAGAACAAGGUUUGUCUUGCAUUAUAUUUAGUGAAUUUGGAAGCAAACCUGACAUCAAAUUUCUUUGCCUCUGUUGUUUCCUUUUAAGCACCUCUGCAAGGCACUCAGAACUUUUUCUAAAACCUCUAAUAUUCUUAAAAUAUAUGAAGAGAAACGUUGCUGAAUUACCCUUUUCCUCUUGUUUUAUAACCUGUGAAAAUAUGCUCAUAGAACUCCAACACAUCUUUAACUUCCAUAUCUUCCAAGACAUUCUGAUGUUGUUCUUUGCCAGCCAGCACAGAGGCCACCAUGGACAAGGGCUUUAGUGUCCUUAUCAGAGCUGUGAUAUGUGCUUGUAAUUCAAGUUCUGUGCUGUCUGAGAGAAAACGUAGCACACUCAUCUCUGCCCUUGCACCCACCCAGGUGUGGUAUCAGCUUCUGAGUGCUUUAAUCAGUAAAACUUUUAGGUUUAUUUGAGCUAGCUUUCUGUCCAGAUGCAUUACAGACCAGCAUGAUGCUAUACAUUACCUGGCUUUUUCUGCUCUGUAUUGUCAAUCCUUGAAGGGCUUCAUUUAUCAUGUUUUGCUCCCUAUAAACAUCACUUAAAAAUUAAAGAAGGAUUGUCCUGUAGUCCUGAUCCUACCAUCAGCACUCUGUCAUAAAGCUGCUUCUUUCCCAGUCGAGUGACCCUGUGCCUCUAAGCACUGCAGAGGGGAGUUUGUCCAGGCUGGAAUUGAGUACCAAUGGGGACUGCAAGGGUGUGGCUCUUCAUUUUAGCAUUUCAGCAAGAAGAGGCUGAAAGGUAUUAUGUCUAAUGAUUUACAAAGUGACAACAGAGUUGCAGGGUUCCUAUCUGCAUGCAACUAUAUAUGAGUCAUGGAAGGAAGUAAUACAGGUUACACGUUCUGCAGGGUAAAGUCAUGUGAACUUGUCACCUGAGACUUCUGCAUAAUGCCUGUCCGGUUCCUGUUCCUGGCUUAUUCCACGUCCCACAGCUUGUCUUUGUGAGUCCUUGCCAAAGCAAAAUGCCACAGCUACUGUUUUCAGUUAUGCUGUUGUGACUUAAGUGCACAUUCUUAUGUAAAAUCUCUGGCAAAUCAGCUGGACAGACAGAAGACUUUGGCUUGCAGUCCUCAAAGGGCUGUGCUCGAGAACGCUGAUGUAGACCACCAGCUCUGGGAAGCCACUGCCACUCCAUGGAAGCCAGCAGCACAGACUGCCCCUGGACAAUCCUGCACUGUGAACCUCGCAGAUGUCCUCCUGCUGCCAUACAUGCAAAGGAGAAGCAAGAAUGAGAAAGCAAAUGCAAUAGGGGGAGAUGUUAACAGAAAAAGUGGGAGGGAACUGAAAGCAUUACCCUUCUCCUUGCACAACUUUAUCUCCAGCUUCCCAAGAUUUUGCUCUGUAUCACCUCUGUUGUAAGCAGAACCUUGUUUCUCAUGUUGUCUGAGAACACAGAAGAAAUUGUAGACUCAAAACUCCUUCAAUAAAUUAACACUCAGAAUCACUUCCCACCAUGUCCUGUGUGGGGUCAAUGCACCUGCAGAAAAGUAGCUGCAGAAACAACAGACUAGUGCAACCUGGGGUACACAAGGUACACACAUGCUCUAGGUGGUUUACACAAGGCACUGUUUAUUGUUCCUAGUGGUGGGCAGGAGAUCAAGAACCCCCAGAUUUUGGUUGUACUUUGGGCACUCAUUUGGUCUGCAGCUUUGUGCGAAUAAUUUACAAUUUGGGUUUCAGGUUUAUUACCUGAAAAUUGGGGAGGUAUUAUUUAUAAACCUUGUAGGCUUCCAGGAAGUUCCCCCAAAAUCCAUCUGAUAAUUACAUUCAACAGCAGCUGAAAUGUCUCUGCACACCGUGCACAGAGGCAGCACUGUGGAAACAGACAGAACAGGGUACAGAAGAUAUGGCUUACUUCUGGUAACAGCUGGGUGUACGAUGGUGCUGAAGGCCUGGCUCUGUGGAGUACAGUGGAAGAAAAGUGGGUAUUUUCUUAGGCAUUGACCUAUAGACUAAGAAAUUUGAAUGUGUUAGCAUCCUUGAAGAGAGCAGUUUCAAAAGCAGGGUGUGCUCAUUUGCACAGCAUGCCUGUGUGCACAUUGGAACUGCAGAAAAGAUCUGAACCCCUUUUCUGCUACAGUGAUAUUGCUUAACUUUCAUAUUCCUACAGAGCUCGCCAUGAACCUUCCCACAUGCUAAAUCUAUCAUACUAGGUAUAUUUACUUACCAUUAAAAAAGUCUUUUACCACAUGAGUAAAUACUGAAAUAUGUACACAGGUUAACCAUGAUACUGGAGAAUAAAA